rnacentral:rRNA from 1 species
GAACCCCACCAUUGCCACCGUCCGCAACGGGCCGGUGGCAGUCUGGAUCG